UAAUAUAUUUUAGGUGUUUAAUAUUCUGAGUACAAGGGAGACAACAUAAUCUUUAUUCUGUCUCAUAUUUAUGUUCUGGAGUGGUGAGUUUCUUCAAAGAAAUUUUCUUAUCAAUUGAUUUCAACAAUUGGUAUCCACUACUCUAUUUCAUAAAUACUUCUUAGAAUAUUUUGCAUCUAUACAUGUAGCGUCAUAAGACGAGAUAUUGAUUAUCUUGUAUUUGUGUACUUGGUGAUCUUUGUCACUUGCAGCGUCUGUUUUGACGAUGUGCUAGUAU
rnacentral:lncRNA from 1 species